rnacentral:lncRNA from 1 species
GGGGAUCCCAUCCCUCACACCCCGUUUGGGGGGAUCCCAUCCCUCACACCCCGUUUGGAAGUGCCUGCGGCCCCGAGGCAGCCAGUGUCGCACGCACAGAGCACCGUCCUGUUGCCGUGUCACGCUGCACCGGGCUGAUCUCCUGCCGUGCUGGCACAGGUGACAGCAAGGUCCGUGCCCCCAGUGCCGGGCUCUGCCUGGAACACGCUGCCUCGCUGCGUUUGCUUUGCUUUUUAAGCCUUUUCCACUUGUUUAUACACGCUGAAACUGCUGCUCGCUCCUCCGCAGGAGUGAUUGUGCGCGUAAAAACUUGGGGGGUUUUUUAACCUUUUUCUUUCCCAGUACAGACACAAAGGCAGAGGCGAGGAAGGCUCACCUGAAUACGAGGAUUUCUUCAUGCCGUCGCUGCGGGCUGUGACAUGGGAGCAGGGGCGAGGCCGGCUGGGGUGCGCGGGGCCGGGGCGGCUGGGGUGCGCGGUGCCGGGGGUGCCACGAUCCUUUUGUGGGCAGGGCCGGGGAGGGGACGCGCCCGGAGCCACCGCAUCCGUGCGUGCUGCGGCCGAGGGGCAGCUCCAGGUGCGGCGCACACCUUUCCCUAAUGAACGCACCUUUCCCUAAUGAACGCACCUUUCCCUGCCGCACACACCUUUCCCUAAUGAACACACCUUUCCCUAAUGAACACACCUUUCCCAGCUGCACACACCUUUCCCUAUGGAAAACACCUUUCCCAGCUGCACACACCUUUCCCUGUGGAACACGCCUUUCCCUAUGGAAAACACCUUUCCCUGCCGCACACACUUUUCCCUGUGGCACACACCUUCCCUUUCCCAGCCGCACACACCGGUGCGGGCUGGGCUGUUCCAAGUCUCCCGGUCCGGGCAGGGGAAGAGCGGGGCUCAGGCUCCCCCCCGGGCCGCCCCUUACCCCCAGGGCACCCCGAUCAUCCCCGGGGAUGGCCCUGCCAGCUCCCCGCCCCGCAAACCCCAGCUCCUGCAGCCGCCGCAGCCAAGGGAAGCGAUGGAAUUUCACGCCUCCAGCCCGGCGCACCCCGCGGAUUUGAUUCAGCCCUUGGCUGCUGGAGCAGCUCGGGUCAGCGCUGCUCUCCCGGCUCCAGUUCAAAGUGCAUUAGUGACCCGUGAAAACGCCUCUUUCCCCUCCAAACCCACUCGUCCGGGGCUCAUUCAAGGCUGCGAACCCCGCAAAUCGCUUGUGCAGGCUCACACCUCAUUUACUCGCUGCUGCGGGGGGGGAACAGAGAGCCACGGACCCCAGAAACAGCCCCAGACAUCGCCCCAGCCUCAGAACUGCCCAGAGAAUCAGCUUGGCUCAGAAGGGCAGGUUAAUGUUUAAUACAAUGCAGAGCCCACAGGCUUCAAAUAGGCAGGCCCAGGGCAGUUUCUCCCGGGCUUUGCAGAGGAGGAAUCUCUCCAGCAACAACUGGAUGCACUGUGAGCUGGUCCCUCAGCAACCCUGGCACUGCUCAUCCCCAGCUCACACCAUCACUGCUGCACGUGGGUUUGAUUUUUGGGGGCUUUUUUUGUUUGUUUGGGUCUUUGGGGGGUUUUUUGUGGGUUUUUUGGAGGGUGGGGAGGUGUUUUAGAGUCUUUUUUUAUUGUUGUUGUUGGAUUUUUUUUUUAUUUAUUUUGUGGGUUUUUUUUGUUGUGGGUGUUGUUUUUUUGUUGUUUUUUUUUUUUUUUUUAUUGUUGUUGUUGGAUUUUUUUUUAAUUUAUUUUGUGGGGGUUUUUUUGUUGUGGGUUUGUUUUUUUUUUUUUUUUUUUUUUUUUUUUUUUUUUUUUUUUUGCUUUUGUCCAUGGUCAUUUUAGCAUCUCUCACACAGCUAAUUAUGACAGUAACCCUUCACAGACAAUUACCAUAUCUUCCAAAGGUUUUGUUCACCUCGUUUAGUUUGGUCUGCUCACUUGCAGCCAGG